UACCAGCACCCCGAGUGGUCGGGACGAUUAUUGGGCCUAAAGCAUCCGUAGCCGGUUCUACAAGUCUUCCGUUAAAUCCACCUGCUUAACAGAUGGGCUGCGGAGGAUACUAUAGAGCUAGGAGGCGGGAGAGGCAAGCGGUACUCAGUGGGUAGGGGUAAAAUCCGUUGAUCCAUUGAAGACCACCAGUGGCGAAGGCGGCUUGCCAGAAUGCGCUCGACGGUGAGGGAUGAAAGCUGGGGAGCAAACCGG
rnacentral:rRNA from 1 species